UACGUAGGUCCCGAGCGUUGUCCGGAUUUAUUGGGCGUAAAGCGAGCGCAGGUGGUUUAUUAAGUCUGGUGUAAAAGGCAGUGGCUCAACCAUUGUACGCAUUGGAAACUGGUAGACUUGAGUGCAGGAGAGGAGAGUGGAAUUCCAUGUGUAGCGGUGAAAUGCGUAGAUAUAUAGAGGAACACCGGUGGCGAAAGCGGCUCUCUGGCCUGUAACUGACACUGAGGCUCGAAAGCGUGGGGAGCAAACAGG
rnacentral:rRNA from 1 species